UACGUAGGCAGCGAGCGUUGUUCGGAGUUACUGGGCGUAAAGGGUGUGUAGGCGGUUGUUUAAGUUUGGUGUGGAAUCUCCCGGCUCAACUGGGAGGGUGCGCCGAAUACUGAGCGACUAGAGUGCGGGAGAGGAAAGUGGAAUUCCUGGUGUAGCGGUGAAAUGCGUAGAUAUCAGGAGGAACACCGGUGGUGUAGACGGCUUUCUGGACCGUAACUGACGCUGAGACACGAAAGCGUGGGUAGCAAACAGG
rnacentral:rRNA from 1 species